UAUUUCAGAAUGCUUGGUGCUUAUGGAGUUCGAUGGCACUGCACUUCACAUCACUUAAUGUCUGUGCAAUCGCUUCGUCCCUGCUAAGUUUACUCCACUUAUCUGAAGCCAUGUUGACAUGCGCUGCCAACAUGAAUACUACGGAGAAAAGCUUAAGAGUUGGGUCACCGCCAUCACUACGACCACCACCACAACCACCACCACUACCACCACUAUUACUGCUAUCACCACCACCACCACCACUAUGCUACUAUCACACCACCACCACCACCACCACACGCAAAACAACAACAACUGCAACGAACAACAACAACAAAAAGUAAAGAACAGUAACAAAAACAAAGUACUGCUACAUGUGGGAGAAGGAGGGAGAUGAAGAAGAAGAAGAAGAAGAAGAAGAAGAAGAAGAAGAAGAAGAAGAAGAAGAAGAAGAAGAAGAAGAAGAAGAGGAGGAGCUGGAGGAGAAGGAGGAAAAUGAGAAAAUGAAGAAGUAGAAGAGUGUUAGCGUAAGACGGACACGUGACAAUGAUAGCGAUGUGGCAGUGAAGCCUUAAACUUUGCCCAGAGUGAAGUGUGCGAGCCAAAAGAUGGGAAAAACUAAACUCGUUAAGGAGAAACAAAAGAAAAAAAGAGCAAAGAAGUAAGAAGAUGAAAGAAAAGGAGGAGUAGAAGAAAAAAGGAGGAG